rnacentral:rRNA from 1 species
AAUUUACUUUAUUAUCCGCCAGAAUACUACAAGCGCUAGCUUAAAAUCCAAAGGACUUGGCGGUGCUUCAGACCCACCUAGAGGAGCCUGUUCUGCAACCGAUAAUCCCCGUUAAACCCCACCACCUCUUGCCAUUACCGCCUAUAUACCGCCGUCGUCAGCUCACCCUAUGAAGGAUUAAAGAGUAAGCAAAAAGAAUUAAACUCCCACACGUCAGGUCGAGGUGUAGCGAAUGAGGUGGAAAGAAAUGGGCUACAUUUUCUAUUAAGAAAACACGGACAGUAAACUGAAAAAUUACUCCAAGGUGGAUUUAGCAGUAAGAAGAAAUAAGAAUAUUCUACUGAAGCCGGCUCUGAAGCGCGCACACACCGCCCGUCACUCUCCUCGCCAUAAACAUUACCAUUAUAUAAAAAAAUUUUAUUGAAAAGAGGAGGCAAGUCGUAACAUGGUAAGUGUACUGGAAAGUGCACUUGGAAU